rnacentral:rRNA from 1 species
UAUUGGUCAAUGGGCGAGAGCCUGAACCAGCCAAGUCGCGUGAGGGACGACUGCCCUAUGGGUUGUAAACCUCUUUUGUAUGGGGGGAAUAAGCUUUAAGAGUAGAGUGAUGACGGUACCAUACGAAUAAGCAUCGGCAAACUCCGGGCCAGCAACCGCGGUAAUGCCGAGGAUGCGAGCGUUAUCCGGAUUUAUUGGGUUUAAAGGGUGCGUAGGCGGCAUUAUAAGUUAGUGGUAAAAUAUUGGGGCUUCACCUCACUACGCCAUUAAUACUGUAGAGCUAGAGAACAGACGAGGUAGGCGGAAUAAGUUAAGUAGCGGUGAAAUGCAUAGAUAUAACUUAGAACACCGAUAGCGAAGGCAGCUUACCAGACUGAGUCUGACGCUGAUGCACGAGAGCAUGGGUAGCGAACAGG